AUUGAACGCUGGCGGCAGGCCUAACACAUGCAAGUCGAGCGGAUGAAGGGAGCUUGCUCCUGGAUUCAGCGGCGGACGGGUGAGUAAUGCCUAGGAAUCUGCCUGGUAGUGGGGGAUAACGUCCGGAAACGGGCGCUAAUACCGCAUACGUCCUGAGGGAGAAAGUGGGGGAUCUUCGGACCUCACGCUAUCAGAUGAGCCUAGGUCGGAUUAGCUAGUUGGUGGGGUAAAGGCCUACCAAGGCGACGAUCCGUAACUGGUCUGAGAGGAUGAUCAGUCACACUGGAACUGAGACACCGUCCAGACUCCUACGGGAGGCAGCAGUGGGGAAUAUUGGACAAUGGGCGAAAGCCUGAUCCAGCCAUGCCGCGUGUGUGAAGAAGGUCUUCGGAUUGUAAAGCACUUUAAGUUGGGAGGAAGGGCAGUAAGUUAAUACCUUGCUGUUUUGACGUUACCAACAGAAUAAGCACCGGCUAACUUCGUG
rnacentral:rRNA from 1 species